CCUCAUAAUGAUCGCUCUGCACCUAAAACCAGAAAACAAAGAAGCUUUAACUACACAGAGUGAACUCUUUAUAAUAUUGAAAUAUUCAUUAUACAAAGAUAAUGUUUAGCUUAAUAAAAAGAAAAAAUUUAACAUAGGAAUUUUAAGAAUCCAAACAUUCAUUGUUCACAACAUUGCUAGGAAAUGAAACUUGUAAGAGUUCAUUCCAUUUUUCACUUUGUUGAACUACAAGAAACAAAACUACUAGCACUUUUCUCUUAAACUGAAUUCUCUCAAUUUUAGCUAGAGUUGGGGGAAAAAAAACUGAAUUUUGAAACUUGAUGCAAUGCCGUGUAAAUCAAAUUAAAAUGGGUGACCAGUACACAAAGCAUCCCACACUUGUGGG
rnacentral:misc_RNA from 1 species